CCUACGGGAGGCAGCAGUGAGGAAUAUUGGUCAAUGGCCGAGAGUCUGAACCAGCCAAGCAGCGUGAAGGAUGACUGCCCAAUGCGUCGCAAACUUCUUUUAUAUGGGAACAAAACGCCCCACGCGUCCGAUCCUGUAUGUACCAUAAGAAAAAGGAUCGGCUAACUCCGUGCCAGCAGCCGCGGUAAUACGGAGGAUCCGAGCGUUAUCCGGAUUUAUUGGGUUUAAAGGGUGCGUAGGGGGGUGUUUAAGCCGGGUGUGAAAUUUCGGGGCGCAACCGCAACGAGGCGUGGGAACUGGGGGUCUUGAGUGCGGGGGAGGUAUGCGGAAUGCGGGGUGUAGCGGUGAAAUGCAUAGAUAGCGCGAAGAACACAGAUGGCGAAGGCAGCGUGCUGUGCCGCAACUGACGCUGAGGCACGAAAGCGGGGGGAUCGAACAGGAUUAGAUACCCGAGUAGUC
rnacentral:rRNA from 1 species